rnacentral:rRNA from 1 species
UACGUAGGGGGCGAGCGUUGUCCGAAGUUACUGGGCGUAAAGGGCGCGUAGGCGGAUGUUUAAGUCAGAGGUGAAAGCCCAGGGCUCAACCUUGGAACUGCCUUUGAUACUGGGCAUCUUGAGUACGGGAGAGGUGAGUGGAACUCCGAGUGUAGAGGUGAAAUUCGUAGAUAUUCGGAAGAACACCAGUGGCGAAGGCGACUCACUGGCCCGUUACUGACGCUGAGGCGCGAAAGCGUGGGGAGCAAACAGG